GGUGCAUGCUGAAAAUGGUGAUGCUGUAUUCGAAGGGCAGGAGAGAAUGAUUGAACUUGGUAUAACUGGUCCAGAGGGACAUGCUCUUUCACGACCUGCUGUGUUAGAAGGAGAGGCAACUUCCCGAGCAAUACGUCUGGCUAGUUUUGUGAACACUCCUCUGUAUGUGGUUCAUGUUAUGAGCAUUGAUGCAAUGGAAGAAAUAGCCAAAGCUCGAAAAGCAGGGCAGAAGGUAAUUGGAGAGCCAGUUGUGUCUGGGUUAGUUCUAGAUGAAUCUGGGCUUUGGGAUCCUGACUUUGCCACCGCAGCAAAGUAUGUUAUGAGUCCUCCUAUUAG
rnacentral:misc_RNA from 1 species